AUUAGACUACCCCUGUACGUCCCAGCCGUAAACAAUGUGCGUUAGGUGUGUCGGUAACCACGCGUUACUGAUGCGCCGAAGAGAAAUCGUGAAACGCACCACCUGGGAAGUACGGUCGCAAGGCUGAAACUUAAAGGAAUUGGCGGGGGAGCACCACAACAGGUGGAGCCUGCGGUUUAAUUGGAUUCAACGCCGGACAUCUCACCGGAUAAGACAGCUGAAUGAUUGUCAAUCUGAAGGUUUUACAUGACUAGCUG
rnacentral:rRNA from 1 species